rnacentral:rRNA from 1 species
UGGGGAAUUUUGGACAAUGGGCGAAAGCCUGAUCCAGCAAUGCCGCGUGUGUGAAGAAGGCCUUCGGGUUGUAAAGCACUUUUGUCCGGAAAGAAAUCCUUGGCUCUAAUACAGUCGGGGGAUGACGGUACCGGAAGAAUAAGCACCGGCUAACUACGUGCCAGCAGCCGCGGUAAUACGUAAGGUGCAAGCGUUAAUCGGAAUUACUGGGCGUAAAGCGUGCGCAGGCGGUUUGCUAAGACCGAUGUGAAAUCCCCGGGCUCAACCUGGGAACUGCAUUGGUGACUGGCAGGCUAGAGUAUGGCAGAGGGGGGUAGAAUUCCACGUGUAGCAGUGAAAUGCGUAGAGAUGUGGAGGAAUACCGAUGGCGAAGGCAGCCCCCUGGGCCAAUACUGACGCUCAUGCACGAAAGCGUGGGGGAGCAAAACAGGAUUAGAUACCCUGGUAGUCCACGCCCUAAACGAUGUCAACUAGUUGUUGGGGAUUCAUUUCCUUAGUAACGUAGCUAACGCGUGAAGUUGACCGCCUGGGGAGUACGGUCGCAAGAUUAAAACUCAAAUGAAUUGACGGGG